ACCAAGGCGACGACGGGUAGCCGGCCUGAGAGGGUGUUCGGCCUCACUGGGACUGAGACACUGCCCAGAGCCCUACGGGGUGCUGCAGUUUCGAAUCGUUCGCAAUGCGCGAAAGCGUGACGACGCGACGCCGCGUGCGGGAGGAAGGCCUUCGGGUUGUAAACCGCUUUUAGGGGGUAUGAAGAGAUCGGGGUCAAUAGCCCCGUGAUCUGACGUCAACCCCAGAAUAAGCUCCGGCUAACUUCGUGCCAGCAGCCGCGGUAAGACGAAGGGAGCGAGCGUUGUUCGGUAUCACUGGGCUUAAAGAGCGCGUAGGCGGUCGGAUGGGUCGGUUGUGAAAUCCCUGGGCUCAACUCAGGAAUUGCUUCCGAAACUAUUCGACUUGAGGCAUUCUGGGGGCGACUGGAACUCUUGGUGGAGCGGUGAUAUGCGUAGAUAUCAAGAGGAACGCCAGUGGUGAAGACGGGUCGCUGGGAAUGUCCUGACGCUGAGGCGCGAAAGCUAGGGGAGCGAACGGGAUUAGAUACCCCGGUAGUCCUAGCCGUAAACGAUGUGCACUAGGCUGCGGUAGUUCUGACACUGUCGCGGCCGUAGCAAAAGUGUUAAGUGCACCGCCUGGGGAGUACGGUCGCAAGGCUAAAACUCAAAGGAAUUGACGGGGGCUCACACAAGCGGUGGAGGAUGUGGCUCAAUUCGAAGCAACGCGAAGAACCUUAUCCUGGGUUUGACAUGCACGGAUGAAACCUGUGAAAGCAGGGGACUGCCCGCAAGGGUGAAACGUGCACAGGUGCUGCAUGGCUGUCGUCAGCUCGUGCUGUGAAGUGUCGGGUUAAGUCCCUUAACGAGCGAAACCCUUGUCGUUAGUUACCAGCGGGUCAUGCCGGGAACUCUAACGAGACUGCCGGUGUUAAACCGGAGGAAGGUGGGGAUGACGUCAAGUCCUCAUGGCCUUUAUGCCCAGGGCUGCACACGUCCUACAAUGGGAUGGACAAAGGGUUGCGAAACCGCGAGGUCAAGCUAAUCCCAAAAACCAUCUCCCAGUCCGGAUUGCAGGCUGCAACUCGCCUGCAUGAAGUCGGAAUCGCUAGUAAUCGCGGAUCAGCAUGCCGCGGUGAAUAUGUUCCUGAGCCUUGUACACACCGCCCGUCAAGCCAUGGGAGCUGGUAGUACCCGAAGUCGCUGACCCAACCCCUCGGGGAGGGAGGUGCCGACGGUAAGACCGGUGACUGGGGCUAAGUCGUAACAAGGUA
rnacentral:rRNA from 1 species